rnacentral:rRNA from 1 species
UACGUAGGGUCCAAGCGUUAAUCGGAAUUACUGGGCGUAAAGCGUGCGCAGGCGGUUCGUUAAGUCAGCUGUGAAAGCCCCGGGCUCAACCUGGGAAUUGCGGUUGAAACUGGCGAACUAGAAUCUGGCAGAGGGGGGGUAGAAUUCCACGUGUAGCAGUGAAAUGCGUAGAGAUGUGGAGGAAUACCGAUGGCGAAGGCAGCCCCCCUGGGAUAACACUGACGCUCAUGCACGAAAGCGUGGGGGAGCAAACAGG